AUGGACUUCUGAGAAGUAGGAACUGACGACUUGUGGAGUUUGCUUUUUGCUUUCAUUUUUAAAUGGAAUGAGCUGGUGGGAGCUCCCCGAGUCUUGGCCUGGGCUGGUGCCCCCGUCCCUCCCAGGCCCGUCCAGGCCUGGCACACGGGGACAACGGGACUCUGUGGGCAGCCCGAGCGCGUUACAAGGUCUGAGGGGAUGAGAAUAGAGAAUGGAUGGGUUUGGUCAUAAUCCCUCCUCCCUGUCCCCUAGAACCACUCCUACUUCUUGUACAGAACAGUCUUUUGUGCCUGAGUUUUGGUUUUCCUUCUGUUUGAUUUUUUUUCAGAGCCCGAGGAUACAGAACACACUCGCCUUUCAGAACAAGAGAAGAAAAUCCCCCUUGUGGGUUCUGCCAGCUCCCCUGACCUUUAGGGCUGCCCAUUCAGGCUCAGAGCCACCCCAGGACACCUCAAGAGUUUGGCAGAAAUGUGCCAAUUAUUGCUUCUGCUGA
rnacentral:lncRNA from 1 species